GAUUCUGGCUCAGGAUGAACGCUAGCUACAGGCUUAACACAUGCAAGUCGAGGGGCAGCAUUGGAGUAGCAAUACUCAGAUGGCGACCGGCGCACGGGUGAGUAACACGUAUCCAACCUGCCGCUUACUCGGGGAUAGCCUUUCGAAAGAAAGAUUAAUACCCGAUGGUAUAAAGAGUUCGCAUGUUCUCUUUAUUAAAGAAUUUCGGUAAGCGAUGGGGAUGCGUUCCAUUAGAUAGUUGGCGGGGUAACGGCCCACCAAGUCUACGAUGGAUAGGGGUUCUGAGAGGAAGGUCCCCCACAUUGGAACUGAGACACGGUCCAAACUCCUACGGGAGGCAGCAGUGAGGAAUAUUGGUCAAUGGACGAGAGUCUGAACCAGCCAAAAGUAGCGUGAAGGAUGACUGCCCCAUGGGUUGUAAACUUCUUUUAUAAGGGAAUAAAGUGAGGGACGUGUCCCUUUUUGUAUGUACCUUAUGAAUAAGGAUCGGCUAACUCCGUGCCAGCCGCCGC
rnacentral:rRNA from 1 species